CCAGCUCCAAUAGCGUAUAUUUAAGUUGUUGCAGUUAAAAAGCUCGUAGUUGGAUUUUGGGUUGGAGGAUUCGGUCUGCCUACCGGUUGAUACUGUCUCCUCCAUCCUUCUUGCCGGGGACGCGUCCUGGACUUCACUGGCUGGGGCGCGGAGUCGGCGAUGUUACUUUGAAAAAAUUAGAGUGUUCAAAGCAGGCCUAUGCUCUGAAUACAUUAGCAUGGAAUAACGCGAUAGGACUCUGGUCCUAUUGUGUUGGUCUUCGGGACCGGAGUAAUGAUUAAUAGGGACAGUUGGGGGCAUUCGUAUUUCAUUGUCAGAGGUGAAAUUCUUGGAUUUAUGAAAGACGAACUACUGCGAAAGCAUUUGCCAAGGAUGUUUUCA
rnacentral:rRNA from 1 species